CCGAAAAGAUAAGUGCACAC
rnacentral:siRNA from 1 species